ensembl:ncRNA F22B3.19 ncRNA
GGACUGUAAAAAAAAAGAAACCAAGCUGCCUUUGUACGCAGGUGCGGUGGGAGGGCGGGCGCACUACUGUCCUUGUGGCAAGUAGAACAUUCGGUGUGUUACAGACAAAGGAAAGGUGUCCUCGCAGCGUGGUGCAAUGUGACUCCG